GCCUUCGUGGUGUAGUGGUCAGCACGCUCGAUCCGUAACCGAGAGGUCCGUGGUUCGAUUCCCGACGAAGGCG
rfam:Stegodyphus mimosarum contig82635, whole genome shotgun sequence.